rnacentral:rRNA from 1 species
UACGUAGGGUGCAAGCGUUGUCCGGAAUUAUUGGGCGUAAAGAGCUCGUAGCGGUUUGUCGCGUCUGCUGUGAAAACCCGAGGCUCAACCUCGGGCCUGCAGUGGGUACGGGCAGACUAGAGUGCGGUAGGGGGAGAAUUGGAAUUCCUGGUGUAGCGGUGGAAUGCGCAGAUAUCAGGAGGAACACCAAUGGCGAAGGCAGAUCUCUGGGCCGUAACUGACGCUGAGGAGCGAAAGCAUGGGGAGCGAACAGG